GCGUCCCAGGGUUCCCACAGCACGGUUGGGGCGUGAAGAGUAUUAAGGCAGAAGGAAGCUUGACUGUGACACUAAUAAGUGGAGCAGGGACGAAAGGCGGGCCUAGUGAUCUGGUGGUUCUGAAGGGCAGGGCCAUCGCUCAACGGAUAAAAGUUAUCCUGGGGAU
rnacentral:rRNA from 1 species